AACGAACGCUGGCGGCAUGCCUAACACAUGCAAGUCCAACGAGACCUUCGGGUCUAGUGGCGCACGGGUGCGUAACGCGUGGGAACCUGCCCUUAGGUUCGGAAUAACUCCCCGAAAGGGGUGCUAAUACCGGAUAAUGUCUUCGGACCAAAGAUUUAUCGCCUUUGGAUGGGCCCGCGUUGGAUUAGCUAGUUGGUAGGGUAAAAGCCUACCAAGGCGACGAUCCAUAGCUGGUCUGAGAGGAUGAUCAGCCACACUGGGACUGAGACACGGCCCAGACUCCUACGGGAGGCAGCAGUGGGGAAUAUUGGACAAUGGGCGAAAGCCUGAUCCAGCAAUGCCGCGUGAGUGAUGAAGGCCUUAGGGUUGUAAAGCUCUUUUACCCGGGAUGAUAAUGACAGUACCGGGAGAAUAAGCUCCGGCUAACUCCGUG
rnacentral:rRNA from 1 species